UUUUAAAUUUUGUUAUUCUUUUUUUACAGUAAAAAUAGAAUCUUGAGAAGCAACGUCUUGAAUCAGAGAAUGAUGAACUACGGAAAGAAAUAAAGGCUACUGGCUACAUCUUGAAAUCAGAAUGGAAGCGAAU